rnacentral:rRNA from 1 species
AAUCCAUAGGUUAAUGAGGCGAACCGGGGGAACUGAAACAUCUAAGUACCCCGAGGAAAAGAAAUCAACCGAGAUUCCCCCAGUAGCGGCGAGCGAACGGGGAGGAGCCCAGAGCCUGAAUCAGCAUGUGUGUUAGUGGAAGCGUCUGGAAAGGCGCGCGAUACAGGGUGACAGCCCCGUACACAAAAGCGCAUGUGCUGUGAGCUCGAUGAGUAGGGCGGGACACGUGGUAUCCUGUCUGAAUAUGGGGGGACCAUCCUCCAAGGCUAAAUACUCCUGACUGACCGAUAGUGAACCAGUACCGUGAGGGAAAGGCGAAAAGAACCCCGGCGAGGGGAGUGAAAAAGAACCUGAAACCGUGUACGUACAAGCAGUGGGAGCACAGGUUUACCUGUGUGACUGCGUACCUUUUGUAUAAUGGGUCAGCGACUUAUAUUCUGUAGCAAGGUUAACCGAAUAGGGGAGCCGGAGGGAAACCGAGUCUUAAUUGGGCGUUAAGUUGCAGGGUAUAGACCCGAAACCCGGUGAUCUAGCCAUGGGCAGGUUGAAGGUUGGGUAACACUAACUGGAGGACCGAACCGACUAAUGUUGAAAAAUUAGCGGAUGACCUGUGGCUGGGGGUGAAAGGCCAAUCAAA